UACGUAGGUGGCAAGCGUUGUCCGGAUUUACUGGGCGUAAAGGGAGCGUAGGCGGAUUUUUAAGUGAGAUGUGAAAUACCCGGGCUUAACUUGGGUGCUGCAUUUCAAACUGGAAGUCUAGAGUGCAGGAGAGGAGAAGGGAAUUCCUAGUGUAGCGGUGAAAUGCGUAGAGAUUAGGAAGAACACCAGUGGCGAAAGCGCUUCUCUGGACUGUAACUGACGCUGAGGCUCGAAAGCGUGGGGAGCAAACAGGAUUAGAUACCCUGGUAGU
rnacentral:rRNA from 1 species